rnacentral:lncRNA from 1 species
AGCAAGAAUAAAGCAAAUGGCGAAGAAGCAUGUGAGAAAAGCUGCACAGUAGCAGAGAAUGAGAGGACUGGCUGAAAAUGAACCCAAAAUUUACCAUAAAUCCAAAACUAUACCAAAUCAGUAUCAGGCAAAUUAGUAUCUCACUCACCUUAUCCCGCAACCAAAAUCCAAUUGCACAGAGCUGCACAAAUGAAUAGGAUCAGUAUCAGGCAAAUUAGGAUAAACCUCCAACAUAGGGAAAUUCAGUUUAUAAGAAGC